GGAAAAUACAGUAUUUGGACAGAUGACAUGGGUUAAAUGCUUUAUAUUAGGAAACCUUUCUACCUUUUGUAGUUAUGUACAUGGUAGCAUUCUGUCCCUCUGCAGAAAACUAUUAAGGCUUCUGAAUUUUACUGUUUUUUUUUUUUGCCUCAUUUAUAGAAAUUGAAACUUAGCAUGUUUAAGCAUAAGCUGAUUUGAAAAAAUAAUGCAUCUGUACAAGUGGUCUCAGGGUUCCCUUGAGACUUUGGUACCUUCCCCACAUGGCCACUUAGGGAUAUGGUCACUUGCCUCUAGGCUAAUACUUCCUGCACCUGUCUUUAUUUCAGUGAGAAAGCACUGUGAAGUAGAGAAAGAUUCUCAUCUUUUUCUGUUUAGUAAACUCCUUGUGAUAUACCGCUUCCAUCUCAAGAUGAGUUUUUCUCACUGUGUUUGAAUUUGGGGUGAGUGAAACCAAACUCGGUUUAUUACUCCCUGUCUGGUAGUUGGAGAACUGAGCUGUAGGCAGCGCCAGUGACAACAGGUCCCGUUGUCAUGAGAGCUCCUCUCAGACAGCGAAGGACGGUGCGGCUGGUGUGCGGGUGUCCUUGGCCUGCCCUCCUGUGCAGCUCUCCCGCAGAUGCCUCUGAGCUUCUGUGUGCCCGGAGAUUGCUUGACUCGGGCCACCUGUAGGAGCUGCUUUUGUCUCCUGCUUGGCCACUUAGUCUGCUGGCUCAGUCACUAGUUGAGGCCCUCGUUUUAUUUUCUCUGGCAGUUACAGCUCUUGCAGCUUCAGCAUAGUCUUGUCUCUCAGACCGAUCUCAUCAGGAAGAAUUGAAGGGAUAACUGGAGUGAGCUGGACAUCGGAGCCCUCGUCUGCCGCCACGUCAGCGUCUUGCUCCACAAAUAUCAAGCUGCAAAUUGGCCCUCGGAGUCAGGGUCUCAUCAGCAUCAGAAAUCUAUGGCCUCUAAUGGAUCUGAUCAAGUUAUAUAGAGCAUGCCUUCCAUUAAUGGGAGUACAAGUCAACUGGCUUCAAACACUUUCCCUUCACUUUCCCAGUCGGAUUGCUUUCACGAGACCAAUGGAACCAAUGACUGAAAAUAAGGAAAAUUUAGCACUUUUGAUAUCUUCUAAUAAGAAAUUCCUAUCAGCCACCUCAUGCCCCAAAACUAGUUUAUUUCAUCCCCCUAAAUUCAUGACUUUUAUAUUCUAUUGCAGAAUUUUGCUGAUGAUAGACUUUUCAGUACUGAUUUUGUGCUGAUAAAGUCCAUUCUAGGGCCCAGCCUUUUUUUCACUGACUUGUGUUCCCUUCAACCUAAUCCCCAUUUUGCAUGUAUGAUAGACAGUUGAUGAACGAAAGCACCCAAAUAGGCGAGAUAGUUCCCUAGGCCCUGAUUUCUGUAAAAGGCUUGGGAGUGGAUUAUGCAAUUGCCUUUCAUAUUUUUGUUGUUCCAGAAAAAAAGAUGAGCUCAGAUGGAUGCCUGUGUAAAAAUGGUUCCUAGCUUUGUAUUCAUAACUUUUCUCUGAAUUGAGUAGUGAAAGUUGAAGUAGGAGGAAAGGAAAUUAAAUGUCCUAGUAUUCCUUUGGACUCAGGUCUGACAUGACAUAUGAGAUAAUAACCUAUAUUGAAAUGCCAAGAAUUUUAUCUGAACCAAGGAGAGGACAGUUUGACAGAUUUAUUAUGCCUUCAUGUUACAUAGGCACUGAAACAAACUAAUAAGCAUUAAAUAGCCUUAUAUAAAGGCAAGUGCACCUAAAACUUUAUGUUUUGGUGUAACAGAAAUUGAUCAUUAUUUUUUUAGGGAAGACUAUGCAAUUGUGGUGAUCCAGUGGUGUGUCUUGAUAACUUAGCUUAUGGAUUCACCUGCUGGAAAUAAACAAAGCGAAUUCACACCAGUGUCAAUGCACAGCUUGAGCAGGGAAGGAAAUGGCACACAGCACCCCCACAUUUGGGGCUUUUGGCUCCCACACCCCCUGCCCAUGUGCAUCACCAUCCUUUUCACACUUGACAAUAACUUGAAAAUGGUGAACCCACUAUCCUGCAUUUUUCUACAACAUGGGCAAUGUUCUUGUUAACAUAAUAGGUAGCUCUUAAUGUAUUAGAACUGUUACAGCUGCAGUUGCCUCAGUUUAUCAUGUUUCUAGGAUUGAUGGUGGAAUAGGAAGUUCCUGGGUAAGUUUUAGCCUGUGGGUAAUGCC
ensembl:lncRNA